UACAGAGGUCCCGAGCGUUGUUCGGAUUCACUGGGCGUAAAGGGUGCGUAGGUGGCAUGGUAAGUUUGAUGUGAAAGCUCAGGGCUUAACCCUGAAAUGGCAUUGAAUACUACUGUGCUGGAGGUUUGGAGGGGGGACUGGAAUUCUUGGUGUAGCAGUGAAAUGCGUAGAUGUCAAGAGGAACACCAGUGGCAAAGGCGAGUCCCUGGACAACACCUGACACUGAGGCACGAAAGCUAGGGGAGCAAACAGG
rnacentral:rRNA from 1 species